AUUGAACGCUGGCGGCAGGCCUAACACAUGCAAGUCGAGCGGAGCGGCGGACGGGUGAGUAAUACCUAGGAGUCUGCCUGGUAGUGGGGGAUCACGUUCGGAAACGGACGCUAAUACCGUAUACUAUCAGAUGAGCCUAGGUCGGCUUAGCUAGUGGGUGAGGUAAUGGCUCACCAAGGUUACGAUCCGUAACUUGUCUGAGAGGAUGAUCAGUCACACUGGAACUGAGACACGGGCCAGAGUCCUACGGGAUGCAGCAGUGGGGAAUAGUGGACAAUGGGCGAAAGCCUGAUCCAGCCAUGCCGCGUGUGUGAAGAAGGUCUGCGGAUUGUAAAGCACUUUAAGUUGGGAGGCGUUACCGACAGAAUAAGCACCGGCUAACUCGGUGCCAGCAGCCGCGGUAAUAC
rnacentral:rRNA from 1 species